GGAAACCCCGGAACUAGAACUGGUAUCUCUUCAACUACCUGUGAAAACUGAUGUGAUGAAAAGGGGAAUUUGAAGGAGCCAUUCCAGAAGACAGGGCGAAAACUGAAGUGCAAUCAGGGCCAAGAAAAACAGAAAUAGCAGGACCUGGAGUUGCAUAGGUUGAAUAGUUGAAUAGGCUGCUCUCCUCAGCUGGCAGGAAACCUGGCAGCCUCCUGGUGCCCAAGGACUGAAAACCUUAGAAGCACCUGGAGUUGGCAGCCUUGGCAUGGUCAGGUUGGCACCUCUGGAGGUGCCCAGGCUUCCCUGGCAGCAUUGUGAGCAGUGGAUGGUGUUGAAGGGCAGCCAGAGGAGGAAUGGAACACAUGCUCCUUGCUAACCACACGGACAAGGCCACGUUCACAGGUACACAAAGGCAACGCAGUUGCUCAGGUGCUUCGGUAUCACAGCCAAGACCCCUUCGGGGGAAGCUAGUCGGAUACUGGGACCCACAUUCCAGACUACUGAGCCGCGGUCGCGCCCUCGGCUCCGUUUCUGCUCCCUCCACCCCACGAGGACGGGGGUGGAAGGCCACCUUCGAUGGGUGCAUCCUCCACGAUGACCUGCUAACAAAGGUGCAUGGAUUUCAGAGUCUGAUUGGCCUACAACAGCAUUUGGCUUGUGGAGACAGUGGUUCCCUGAUGAAAAACUGCCAUGAUCAGCCAUCUGCACCCAAACCAGAUGCCAAAAUAACCAGGGAAGCCCAAGAGUGACGGGGCCCAAGACCUUCCGCUACACCUCCCGUCGGACAACUAGCCAUAUCUUCUGAGAAGCCUCAGAUAACCCUUGACAUGACAGGAAAAGGACAACAACCUGUGUGGGUUCCCUCCCGACAACUGAAAUUGCACCAUAACUCCCAAGAAGAAACACUCCCAGAAACAAAAGGCAAAGACCCCUCUGAAACCAAAGAGCAAGUAUCACCGCCUGACACAUAAACUUCAUGACCUCGACAUUGAGACAAAAUCUCGCCGUGUGACCUACAACACCACUCAUUUAACUCCACCAACUUGGGGUCAAAUAAAGGUCUUAUCCCAUCAACAGAAAAAUCAUUAAGAGAAAAAUGAAUCCCCAAAACGACAGUCUGCAGAUCCCGCAAGGAAUCCGAAGACAAGUCCAAAGUCAACGACAAGCAAUGAUGGCAAUGGUGAUCCUAGUUAAUAAAAAGCGGGGAGAUGUGGGUGGCAAGCCACCCAGGUGCCGAGGCAAGAGACCGAGAGCACGAGCUGUUCCAGUGUAAUAAAAUAUAUAAAAUAACAAGAGUUAUACUGAUAUAGCUCAUAGAUAUGAUUAUAUAUAAAUACCAUUAAUCAUUAGUUUGUAGUAAUUACUCUUUAUUCAAAUAUUAUAAUAAUCCUCACUCUACAAUCAUAACCUAGAAAAAGGCAGGCCAUGCAGAGAUAGGAGCUGAGGGGACAUGGUGAGAAGUGACAAGAAGACAAGAGUGUGAGCCUUUUGUUAUGCCCAGGCAGGGCCACCAGAGGGCUCCUUGGUCUAGCAGUAAUGCCAGCGUCUGGGAAGAUGCCCGUACCAAGCGGACCAUGGUCUAGUGGUAGCGUCAGUGCCAAGGAAAAGCACCUGCUACUGAGCAGACCAGGAAAGGGAGUCUCCCUUUCCCCAGGGGAGUUUAGAGAAGACUCUACUCCACCAUCUCUUAUGGAGGGCCUGACAUAAGUCAGGCCUGCCUGCAGUUAUCCAGAGGCCUGACCGUCUCCCUGUGAUGCUGUGCUUCAGUAGUCAUGCUCCUGGUCUGCUUUCAUGUUCCAUCCUGUACACCUGGCUCUGCCUUCUAGAUAGCAAUAGCAGAAUUACUGAAAGUAUUAAAAGUCUCUGAAAUGCAGAAAUAA
ensembl:lncRNA LINC00910 long intergenic non-protein coding RNA 910